UGUUUUUGGUAUUUUGGUUAGUGAAAUGAUAAUAUACAAGUAUGAUAUAAUCACAAAGUGCUAGGUGAUAUCUCCCAAAACAAACCCAAUGAAAGAGGGGUAAGUAGGAUGCCAAGGUAUGAUCCCAAUGCUAAUGCUUAUGAUGGAAUUGCAUGAGGGAUCUUAGGAUCAAAAUUGGGGUCUUACAGUAUGGAAACUUGUAUUUGAU
rnacentral:lncRNA from 1 species